CGGCGGACGGGUGAGUAACACGUGGAUAACCUACCUAUAAGACUGGGAUAACUUCGGGAAACCGGAGCUAAUACCGGAUAAUAUAUUGAACCGCAUGGUUCAAUGUUAAAGACGGUUUUGCUGUCACUUAUAGAUUGAUCCGCGCCGCAUUAGCUAGUUGGUAAGGUAACGGCUUACCAAGGCAACGAUGCGUAGCCGACCUGAGAGGGUGAUCGGCCACACUGGAACUGAGACACGGUCCAGACUCCUACGGGAGGCAGCAGCG
rnacentral:rRNA from 1 species